CAGUAGCCGCGGUAAAACGAAGGGUGCAAGCGUUAAUCGGAAUUACUGGGCGUAAAGCGUGCGUAGGCGGUGAGUUAAGUCUGCUGUGAAAUCCCCGGGCUCAACCUGGGAAUGGCAGUGGAUACUGGCUCGCUAGAGUGUGUCAGAGGAUGGUGGAAUUCCCGAUGUAGCGGUGAAAUGCGUAGAGAUCGGGAGGAACAUCAGUGGCGAAGGCGGCCAUCUGGGACAACACUGACGCUGAGGCACGAAAGCGUGGGGAGCAAACAGGAUUAGAUACCCCAGUAGUCCCUGUCUCUUAUAC
rnacentral:rRNA from 1 species